GGGUUGUGAGGUUAAGCGACUAAGCGUACACGGUGGAUGCCCUGGCAGUCAGAGGCGAUGAAGGGCGUGCUAAUCUGCGAUAAGCGCCGGUAAGGUGAUAUGAACCGUUAUAACCGGCGAUACCCGAAUGGGGAAACCCAGUGUGAUUCGUCACACUAUCAUUAACUGAAUCCAUAGGUUAAUGAGGCGAACCGGGGGAACUGAAACAUCUAAGUACCCCGAGGAAAAGAAAUCAACCGAGAUUCCCCCAGUAGCGGCGAGCGAACGGGGAGGAGCCCAGAGCCUGAAUCAGCAUGUGUGUUAGUGGAAGCGUCUGGAAAGGCGCGCGAUACAGGGUGACAGCCCCGUACACAAAAGCGUAUGUGCUGUGAGCUCGAUGAGUAGGGCGGGACACGUGGUAUCCUGUCUGAAUAUGGGGGGACCAUCCUCCAAGGCUAAAUACUCCUGACUGACCGAUAGUGAACCAGUACCGUGAGGGAAAGGCGAAAAGAACCCCGGCGAGGGGAGUGAAAAAGAACCUGAAACCGUGUACGUACAAGCAGUGGGAGCACCCUUUGGGGUGUGACUGCGUACCUUUUGUAUAAUGGGUCAGCGACUUAUAUUCUGUAGCAAGGUUAACCGAAUAGGGGAGCCGGAGGGAAACCGAGUCUUAAUUGGGCGUUAAGUUGCAGGGUAUAGACCCGAAACCCGGUGAUCUAGCCAUGGGCAGGUUGAAGGUUGGGUAACACUAACUGGAGGACCGAACCGACUAAUGUUGAAAAAUUAGCGGAUGACCUGUGGCUGGGGGUGAAAGGCCAAUCAAACCGGGAGAUAGCUGGUUCUCCCCGAAAGCUAUUUAGGUAGCGCCUCGUGAAUUCAUCUCCGGGGGUAGAGCACUGUUUCGGCUAGGGGGUC
rnacentral:rRNA from 1 species